rnacentral:misc_RNA from 1 species
GGAUGGAUCAUUAACACUUAUCCAAGUACCUACUAGUAAACCUUUUUUGGUCACCCGAGUUUCCGCGACCGGAUCAUGGAACCCACAAACGGCAGAGCAAGAGCUUUCGGGUUCUUGCUGUUCCACCGGUAGAAACUCGUUUGUUUUCCGUCUCCUUCACUGGAAUCGGAACUCAAACGCAGUCUUGAGAGUCGACACUAAAAACUCUUCCGGUAGGCGCAAGCUUACUGCAGUUUCAUUCUGGCUGCUGUUUUGUAUUGUCAAACCAAUUUAACGAUUUGUAACCAUAUGUCUGAUUUAAGGGUUGGUCCGAAAGGAUUUCAACUUUAUUAUUUCGCGUAAUUUUUAUACAACUGUUAGCAACGGAUAUCUUGGUUCUCGCAACGAUGAAGAGCGCAGCGAAAUGCGAUACGUAAUGCGAAUUGCAGAAUUCAGUGAAUCAUCAAAUUCUUGAACGCAAAUUGCGCUUUCGGGAUAGCCCUGGAAGCACGCUUCUUUGAGUAUCGGUUCACCCCACCCUCGGCGGCGUCGCCAUCAAACAGCGAACGUGCAGCCGGAAAAUGAGCGUCACAGCCAGAGUGUGCACUAUGUGGCUGCGUCGCUUCAAGCACAGAGCGCUAAUUACCAAGCUCAAGUUCAGCCGUCCUUGCCAGGAUGAACAAUGGGUACACACCCCAAAUUUGCUCAUCAUACCAAACUGGCACAGGGCGGUUUGAGCCUUGGUUACAAAAAGCGCGAUUUGGAAUUAACGGGAGGGCGGUCCUAAAAAAGCCGCACUUUCCACCUCGAAAUAGAUCUCAGAUGAAGCGAGAAAACCCGCCGGACUUAAGCAUAUUAUUAAGCGGAGGAAAAGAAACUAACAAGGAUUCCCCUAGUAACGGCGAGUGAAGCGGGAAAAGCUCAACUUGAAAAUCGGUGCUCCACGCGGGGUAUCGAGUUGUAGUCUAGAGACGUGCUGUCAGCGUGUGACCCAGCUAUAAAUCUUUUGGAACAAGGUAUCAUAGAGGGUGAGAAUCCCGUCUUUGAGCUGGAGUUCGCCGCGUACGAUACACGUUCAACGAGUCGAAUAGGUCGGGAUUCCUGUUCUAAAUGGGUGGUAAAUUUCAUCUAAAGCUAAAUACAGGCGAGAGACCGAUAGCGAACAAGUACCGUGAGGGAAAGAUGAAAAGAACUUUGAAAAGAGAGUUAAAAAGUACUUGAAAUUGUUAACAGCGAAGCGCUGGAAAGCAGUCGUGCCCGAUGUCUAUAUUUAUCCUCCGUUCGUCUCGAACUGUUUCUGGGAGUGCUUACGCCUCCCCAGGAUCAGCCCGUGGUGCGCGGGAGAGUUCUGUAGCUUCGGGCGAGUCAGGAUCAGUUGGUUUCGCCGGAGAAAGCCGCGAGGAAGGUAGGAGGGAGGGGUUUCGGCUCUGAACUCUGUUAUAGCCUUGCGGUGAUACGGUGGGAUCGACUGAGGAACCUAAUGCGCGCCUUCCCCGCAAGGGGAGGGCUGGAUGCCCGGUCCCUGCCAUGCCAUCCUCUAUGGACAGCAAAGCUGUGCGAGUGGAGAAGCGCGGUACUGGGCCGGAUACAUCACAUGCGUGUUCGGGAUCCUGACGAAAUGCUUUUCAUUGACCCGUCUUGAAACACGGACCAAGGAGUCUAACAUAUAUGCGAGUAUUUGGGUGGUAAACCCUGGUGCGUAAUGAAAGUAAAGGCAGCCUCGUGCUGCUGAGGUAGGAACCCUGGCCCACCGGGCCGGGGGGCACUAUCGACCGAUCUGGCACUUGUGAAAGAUUUGAGUAAGAGCAUAUCUGUUGGGACCCGAAAGAUGGUGAUCUAUGCCUGAACAGGGCGAAGCCAGGGGAAACUCUGGUGGAGGCUCGUAGCGAUACUAACGUGCAAAUUGUUCGUCUGAUUUGGGUAUAGGGGCGAAAGACUAAUCGAACCAUCUAGUAGCUGGUUCCCUC